UAAAAAAAAAAGCAGCUCCUGGCCAGUGGCCCAUCUCUGUAGGCACGCGCAACCCACCACCGCGCCGCCGCCCCCGUUGCCAACGGCCACUGCCACUUUCUUCUCCGGUCGUUCCUCAAUCGUCCGCCGUGGCUCGAGGCCUCCGCAAUUCCAUUCAGGAUUGGUUUGUCAAAUAGAGUUACAUAAAGGAAACUGAAGGGCUGUUUCUUAAAGAAUGAUAAGGCUUCCUAAACCCCCCGACAUCACCACCAGAUCAGCUUGACCUGAACUUCACAGUAUAUAAUAUAUAUACUGGUUAGCUCUGUGCCUCUGU